UACGUAGGACCCAAGCGUUGUCCGGAUUUACUGGGUAUAAAGGGUGCGUAGGCGGGCUUGUGCGUCAGAGGUUAAAUCCCACGGCUUAACCGUGGAACUGCCUUUGAUACGGCAAGUCUUGAGUGUGAGAGAGGAAGGUAGAAUUCUUGGUGUAGCGGUGAAAUGCGUAGAUAUCAAGAGGAAUACCAGUGGCGAAGGCGGCCUUCUGGCUCAUCACUGACGCUGAGGCACGAAAGCGUGGGGAGCAAACAGG
rnacentral:rRNA from 1 species